rnacentral:rRNA from 1 species
ACUAACCAGGAUUCUCUUAGUAACGGCGAGUGAACAGAGAAGAGCCCAGUACCGAAGCCUAUUUGCGCUUGUGAAUAAGGCAAUGUGGUAUUAUGAUGUUUGCCUGGGGUUAUCAGUCUAUUCCAAGUCCAGCAUAGAUUAUGGCUCUGGAUCUUGUCCAUAGCGGGUGAAAGACCCGUACGGAUAGACUGUCAGGUAUGUUGAUAGCCCUCAGAUGCAUUCAUCGUGGAGUCGGAUAGCUUGAGAAUGCUGUCCAAAGUGGGUGGUAAACUCCAUCCAAGGCUAAAUAUUUGCACGAAUCCGAUAGCUAACAAGUACCGUGAGGGAAAGUUGAAAAGUACUCUGAAGAGAGAGUAAACAGUACGUGAAGCCGCAUGUAUGGAAGCUGGUGGAGUCAAGCUGCAUGCCUCUAGAAUGAAGCCAGUGAUUGUUGUUCACAUGGUGGGGGAGGUUGUCCGAUUGCCUUGUAAGAAGGCUGACAGAUUAAUCUGUUUCCGGUGAGCACUGGUAAGUGCCUUCGGAGUCGGUCGACUUGUACCUCUGUGUCACUGGCGUAUUUUCUCUAUGGCAGGCACCACGAUCGACAAUGUUGUUGGCGUGUGGUAGUCAAACCAUCAGGUAUUGGGUUCUGAAUCCAUGCUUGGUGGGACGGCAGGUGGCUUGCUGGCCGGUCUUGUGCUGGUCAGUGAGUUUUUUGUGGUUGCGGCCAGCCGACUACUAUUUUGUAAUGCUCACAGCCAUGCAAUUUGUCGUUGCUAAAUGAUGCAUAGUGCUUUUGCUGAGUGUCUUGCAGUCUGCGCAAGUGUGUUUCCAUUUCACAUGGUGCAUGCUUGCUGCCGGUCGGUGAGAUGAAACAGUGAUUGCGCCUUGUGUGAAUCGUG